AACGAACGCUGGCGGCAUGCCUAACACAUGCAAGUCGAACGAGACCUUCGGGUCUAGUGGCGCACGGGUGCGUAACGCGUGGGAAUCUGCCCUUGGGUGCGGAAUAACCGUUAGAAAUGACUGCUAAUACCGCAUAAUGACUCCGGUCCAAAGAUUUAUCGCCCAAGGAUGAGCCCGCGUCGGCUUAGCUAGUUGGUGAGGUAAAAGCUCACAAAGGCGACAAUCCGUAGCUGGUCUGAGAGGAUGGUCAGCCACACUGGGACUGAGACACGGUCGAGACUCCAACGGUAGGCGGCAGUGGGGAAUAUUGGAAACUGGUCGAAAGCUCGAUCCGGCACUGACGUGUGAGUGAUGAAGGCGUUAGGGGUGUAAACCUCUUUAACCCGGGAUGUUAAUGACAGUACCGGGACAAUAAGCGCCGGCUAACACCCUGCCAGCCGCCGCCGUAAAAG
rnacentral:rRNA from 1 species